rnacentral:rRNA from 1 species
CCUACGGGCGGCAGCAGUGAGGAAUAUUGGUCAAUGGGCGCGAGCCUGAACCAGCCAAGUAGCGUGAAGGAUGACUGCCCUACGGGUUGUCACCUUCUUUUAUAAAGGAAUAAAGUGAGGCACGUGUGCCUUUUUGUAUGUACUUUAUGAAUAAGGAUCGGCUAACUCCGUGCCAGCAGCCGCGGUAAUACGGAGGAUCCGAGCGUUAUCCGGAGUUAUUGGGUUUAAAGGGAGCGUAGAUGGGUUGUUAAGUUAGUUGUGAAAUUUUGCGGCUCAACCGUAAAAUUGCAAUUGAUACUGGCAGCCUUGAGGACAGUUGAGGUAGGCGGAAUGCGUGGUGUAGCGGUGAAAUGCUUAGAUAUCACGAAGAACUCCGAUUGCGAAGGCAGCUUACUAAACUGCCACUGACAUUGAUGCUCGAAAGUGUGGGUAUCAAACAGGAUUAGAUACCCUAGUAGUC